UGCCAGACUCCUACGGGAGGCAGCAGUCGGGAAUAUUGCGCAAUGGAGGAAACUCUGACGCAGUGACGCCGCGUAUAGGAAGAAGGUUUUCGGAUUGUAAACUAUUGUCCACAGGGAAGAUAAAAGACUGUACCUGUGAAGAAAGCCCCGGCUAACUACGUGCCAGCAGCCGCGGUAAUACGUAGGGGGCAAGCGUUAUCCGGAUUUACUGGGUGUAAAGGGAGCGUAGACGGCAUGGCAAGUCAGAUGUGAAAGCCCGGGGCUCAACCCCGGGACUGCAUUUGAAACUGUCAGGCUGGGGUGCAGGAGAGGUAAGUGGAAUUCCUAGUGUAGCGGUGAAAUGCGUAGAUAUUAGGAGGAACACCAGUGGCGAAGGCGGCUUACUGGACUGUAACUGACGUUGAGGCUCGAAAGCGUGGGGAGCAAACAGGAUUAGAUACCCCCGUAC
rnacentral:rRNA from 1 species